GUCUCUGAUUGGCAGGAGAGUCACGAACCGGUCAGCCCCGGGUCAGGGGCCGCAAGUGAGGACACAAGUGUCAAGGGGCGUAAGGGAAGCCGGGGCUUGGGAGGGCAGGGCUUUCUCUGCUUGCGGACAUCGCGAAGGGCCUCUGGCAGGCGCCGCCGGGUGGCGGCGAGACGCCUCCGCGCCUCCAGGGUUCCUUGUUGGCUGUCGGAGGAGGACCGGCUGAGGGAUGGCCUGGUGGGGAGGGAGCCCUCGGGCAGGUAGCUGCGUCGGGCCUGGGACAGUUGUGCUGCACUUGGAGACCUGCCCGCCUUCGGGGCCUGUGUGCACGGGGAGGAUAGGCUGUUUAUCUCUGCAGGCUCAGGAAGGCAGGUAGCUGGCCCGUCAGUCAUCCGCCCUGCAAAGCGCUCCCGAGAGACCCCGUAGAGCGGACCGGACGCGCGCUCGCCUUCGGGCCAGCGCGCGCCUGGCCUGAGGUUUCCCGCCCCCGGAGGCCCUCACAUCUCCCCGGUAACGCUUAGGAAUUCGGGCAGCCAGCUCGCCUACCCUUGGGGAAUCGAGGCAGAGCUUCUGGGAAUGGGGUCUGAGGGAAGAGUGCUCACCAGGCAGUGACAUGUAGCCGUUGAGGAUCGCCACUGCCUUCUCGUUCUGUGGUAUGAAUGGCAGUGUCUGUCUAGAGAGUGCUGAAGUUUGAAUGAUGGCAGGCACUUCAGGAUUCCAGCACGUAGUAGGGUUUAAGAACGUCUUAGUUCUUACCUCCAGUCUCGACUCACCGUUCCUACAAGGAACACUCACUUCUACGAAAGCUCUAUUAGACGUUCGAGGGAGAGCUUAUACUGUAGAACCAGUGUUAUUAGGAAAGUUGUUUUUUUUUGUGCUUGUAUUUUUAUUUCCGGAACUACCCAUGGAGCAGAGUUGCUAAAAUAAAAUUUAUUAACUCUAAUGCUAUCCAAAUUGUGAAACAAUGGUACAAAUGAGAUAGAGUAGAAGCUACAAAUUGAUAGGGUAUGUAGUUCACUUAGGGGUUUGGGAGUGGAUUUUCUAGAGCUGCAACUGUCCAGUGUAGUAGUCACUGGCCACUUGAAAAGUGGCUAGUCUGAACUGAGGUCUGCUCUAAGUGUAGAACAUGCACCAGAUUUCUAAAGCGUGGUCUGAAAAGAAAAAAAAAGCUUGGUCUGAAAAGAAAAAGAAUGUAAAGUAUUUCAUUAAUUUUAUAUUGCUUACAUGUCAAAAUGAGAGUGUUUUGGAAAAUUUUAAAUUACGUGGCUUCCAUUAUAUUUCUAUGGAUACUGCUGUUCUAGAGAGUAAAAAAAAUCUCACUGAAGAAGAGUAGGCCUUCCGUUUAGCAACUGUGAAGAAAACCAACCACGCUGCACCUCUCAGUUCUGUAGUCAGAAGUCCAACAUGGUUCUCAAUGGCCUAAAAUCAAGGUGUCCACAGGAUUGUGUUCCUUUCUAGAGAGCAAGCUGCAGUGUGGUAAACUGCCUUUGAAAGAGACCCACAUGUCAAGAAACUGAGCAUCACCUGUGACCAACAGCCAGAAAGUAACUGAAGCCCCAAGACGAACAGCUUGUGCAAAACUAAAUUCUGCCUACAACAAGAGCAUGAAUCGAGACGCAGAUCCUUCCCUAGUUGAUCCUUGAAAUGCUUGCAGCUCUAUGGACACCUUGAUUGCAGCCUUGUGAGAAAUUCUGAACUAGAGGACCUCGUAUGCCUUACCCAUAGGACUUAGAAGAUAAUACGUGUUUUUCAAAAAAGUAAGUUUGGGGAUAAUUUCUUAUGCAGCAAUAGAUAAUGAAUAAUAAAGUAAAUACAGUUUUUUGCUGUUGACUUC